UGCAUAGCAGUGUUAGCUGCACGCGGGUCUUUGAUCCCCGAAGAAAAGGUUAAACCCUUCCUACGCAC
rnacentral:tRNA from 1 species